GAGCUGUACUCCAAUUUCUUUUUCAAUGUAAAUAUCAAACAGGUAGCAUCAGCAAGAAGUUUGUGGAGCAUUUUCAACACGCAACACGUGCUUUUUUCGGGGUCACGCUCUUGAACUUUUUGUAGACAGGGAAAACAACACGUAUCAUUCUUUUAUGCACAGUGAUAGAGAAUUGUGAGAUAAAAAAAGAACCGUCGAAAUUAAUUACUGAUUUCAUAAUUUAGACAAGAACGAUUAUUAUUACUACUUCCGGCCUCGGUGGAGGACAGACGCACCGCGAUUUGUUUCGCCUGGUUGAGCACUCAUUUGGCAGGGGCAGCAAUCACGGUGGCCGAAUUGCUGCAAAGGUUUAAAUAGUACAUGCAAUUUAACCGAUCAUUCCGUUUUAUUCUUCGACAAGGGAAACAACGCAAGUGAUAUAUUUCAAAUUUGGAACUUACUUUUAUAAAAAGGACCCACCACAAUCCCCAGACCCGACCGACACGAUGUGUGAAUACUUACCAGCCUUGUGUGAAAUGAUAGCGGCCGUCAUAUUCGGGAAUACGGAUCCUAUUGAUGAGGAGUAUUACAACUACGAUGACAAUCCAACUACCACCACUAUAACGUCGAACAAUUUAUGAGCUUAGACACACCGUUGCUAUCCCUUCGAAGGAAAUGUAGUUUGUUUAAUAAAAUCAAUAUGGCUUUUGGCUAAAAUCGCGAAAGUACGUUGGAUGUACUACAA